ensembl:scaRNA
CAAUGUGCAGUCUGAGUCCUGGGAACCAGGUGUUGGGGUAUGUUCUGAAAAUGAAUUGA